AUGAAAAUAAUUAGCUGGGACUGCCGAGGUUUGGGUCAACCUCGGACAGUCCAAGAACUUGUGUGCCUCUCAAAGACACACCGACCCAACAUUAUCUUCCUUUCUGAAACAAGAAAAAAUAAAGAGUAUGUUGAGAGUUUGCGCUACCACUUGGGUAUGAAAAAUGUGUUUUCUGUUUCUGUUCCAGGCAAAGGUGGUGGUGUAGCGGUUUUCUGGGAUGACCUUUAUACUUUGCAGUUGAAUAAAUAUGGUGAACAUUUUAUUCACAUGUACGUU
rnacentral:rRNA from 1 species